AAGUCGUAACAAGGUUUCCGUAGGUGAACCUGCGGAAGGAUCAUUAACACGUAUCCAAACGUUAAAACCCCCCCCGUGAACCUUUAUGAGUGCGCACCGUCGGGUAUCCCGAGUCGUAGUGUAUGGUAAAUCAUGGGUAGAGUUGGGGUUCUCUCAACAGGCUACAUUAUUGAUUCAAUGACUACGAUUAGCUGACGGAGUCGCGAUAAAAUUAAUGUGGUAGGAGCCCACGCAGGGCCGAAACAGUCACUGGCCGUGAUGGCCUCCAGUGCACGCUUACGCGCCGGCAUACACAAUAAAUGACACUUUCAGACAAGUUAUUGCUUGGGCCGCUGCGAGGGCCAAGUGGCCUGCCGCACCGAACGCACAACUGUUAACAAUGGAUAUCUUGGUUCUC
rnacentral:misc_RNA from 1 species